GAUGAACGCUGGCGGCGUGCCUAAUACAUGCAAGUCGAGCGAACGGACGAGAAGCUUGCUUCUCUGAUGUUAGCGGCGGACGGGUGAGUAACACGUGGAUAACCUACCUAUAAGACUGGGAUAACUUCGGGAAACCGGAGCUAAUACCGGAUGAUAUUUUGAACCGCACGGUUCAAUAGUGAAAGACGGUCUUGCUGUCACUUAUAGAUGGAUCCGCGCUGCAUUAGCUAGUUGGUAAGGUAACGGCUUACCAAGGCAACGAUGCAUAGCCGACCUGAGAGGGUGAUCGGCCACACUGGAACUGAGACACGGUCCAGACUCCUACGGGAGGCAGCAGUAGGGAAUCUUCCGCAAUGGGCGAAAGCCUGACGGAGCAACGCCGCGUGAGUGAUGAAGGUCUUCGGAUCGUAAAACUCUGUUAUUAGGGAAGAACAUAUGUGUAAGUAACUGUGCACAUCUUGACGGUACCUAAUCAGAAAGCCACGGCUAACUACGUG
rnacentral:rRNA from 1 species